rnacentral:pre_miRNA from 1 species
AGAGAGAUUGCUGGGUCAUAGUGUGAGGGUAAAUUUAACUUUAUAAGAAACUGCCAGAUUAUUUUCCAAAGUGACUCUACAUUUUGCAUUCUCAGUGGCACU